CCAGCUCCAUUCUGAAAGUUGUGUAGCUGCGCUAUCAUGGCAGCAUGCCCAGGCUAAGAAACCGGUUAUUGCUGUAGGAGUAUGUGGCAAUAAUAAUGUGGCUACCUGGCUUCUGGAAGGAAGUGUGCAAGAACAAAUGGAUCUUCUGACUCUCAUUGGACAUACCUGAUACUACCACGAAUCACUGAAUCAUAGAAUCCUAAAGGCUGGAAAAAAACAACCACAGGACAGACACAUCUAACGCAGAGCUGUGCAGACACCUCUAGAACUACGCUGUUGCCACCACUGCAUGUUAAAAGUAGAGAUCUUGCAGAAAUACAAUUUGUGCUAGAAUGUGCCAUACAUAUUUCUGCAGCUUCUUUGACUUUCAUCAACAUGACUCAGCUCCAUGUUUCCUGACUGUUCUUAGGAACCUGUUCCAGCCAGUGAAGAAGGAGUCUCUUCCUCCCAAAGUGAAGGCAAAGGAAUUACAUCUAAUAAAAAUGGUCAGAGGAGGAAUUUUUUUU
ensembl:lncRNA